CUUGUUGAAAGCGUUUUAGUUAGUUUUAGUUCUUUUUAUUCUGAGACUUUAUUGGAAACACAUGGCAAAAGAAAGACCCUUUCAACAAGUGAGAACUUUAGAAAUACUGUAGUUAGUUGUGCAAUAAAUAUUUCGCAUUCGGUAACUCAUAAAGUGACAUAACAGUUUGUGAAAGUGCAAUCUUAGUUCAAGUUGCAACGCGUUCCUUGGCAUCGUGUAAAAGUGUAAAAGUUUGUGUCUGAAAAUGGAAAAAUGGUGCCCCCUUAGCAGCCACGAGCGGCUAAUCAAAUAAUAUCUGAAGUGUAUGAUAAUAGUUUAGAUCUGGUCUCAAAAUGGAACAAUGGAGCUCCCUUAGCAGUCGGAAAUGACUAAUCAAAUGGUAUUUGAAAGGUUGCCGGAGAACCACAAUUAAGGAUAGCAUCCCUUCAGACAUGAUACCUACGGAGAAAUCAGAAAGACUUCUCUAGGAAGCGCUAUUAUUGAGCGGAAUUUGCUUUGAGAUCCUUUAGAUAUUUUGACUUUGACAGCAACCAGCAGAUUUCAUAUCAAAGUACGGAUAACUUGCAGAAUUGCUAACUAUCAAUGUCAAAGUUCAAAUUAAGG